CUAACUGACCACUGUCCGGUGUCCAGGUGCGUGUGGAGCUGCUGCACAACCCGGACAUCUGCAGCGCCUCUUCGGCCAAGCGGCGAUUCCAGCAGGUGCUCAAGGUCCGAGCCGAGUCCUCUCGCGCCGUCCCCUUCGUCAUCGUCCCCCUCAAGACCGGACAGCUGGACAUCGAGGUCAAGGCCGCUGUCCGAGUGGGGCCGGACGGCCGAGGGCCGCAGUACCUGGGCGACGGGGUCAAGAAGAAGCUCAGGGUGGUGCCCGAGGGGAUGCGGCUGGAGAAGACGGUCAAGAUCAUCGAGCUGGACCCGCAGAACAAAGGGGUCGACGGGGUCCAGGAGGAGAAGGUCAAGGCCGCGGACAUCUCGGACAUCGUCCCCAACACUGACCCUCAGACCAAAGUCAGCGUCCAGGGCAACCCGAUGUCCGUGCUGGUGGG